rnacentral:rRNA from 1 species
AUACGUAGGGGGCGAGCGUUGUCCGGAAUGAUUGGGCGUAAAGGGCGCGUAGGCGGCCCGGUAAGUCUGGAGUGAAAGUCCUGUUUUUAAGAUGGGAAUUGCUUUGGAUACUGUCGGGCUUGAGUGCAGGAGAGGUAAGUGGAAUUCCCAGUGUAGCGGUGAAAUGCGUAGAGAUCGGGAGGAACACCAGUGGCGAAGGCGACUUACUGGACUGUAACUGACGCUGAGGCGCGAAAGUGUGGGGAGCAAACAGGAUUAGAUACCCUGGUAGUCCACACUGUAAACGAUGAAUGCUAGGUGUAGGGGGUAUCGACCCCUUCUGUGCCGCAGUCAACACAAUAAGCAUACCGCCUGGGGAGUACGGCCGCAAGGUUGAAACUCAAAGGAAUUGACGGGG